CCCUUAGAUGUUCUGGGCCGCACGCGCGCUACACUGACGAAUGCAACGAGCUUAUAACCUUGGCCGAAAGGUCUGGGUAAUCUCCAAAUUUCGUCGUGAUGGGGAUAGAUUAUUGCAAUUAUUAAUCUUCAACGAGGAAUGCCUAGUAAGCGCAAGUCAUCAGCUUGCGUUGAUUACGUCCCUGCCCUUUGUACACACCGCCCGUCGCUCCUACCGAUUGCAUGGUCCGGUGAAGCGUUCGGACCGUGGCCUUUGGACGGUUCGCCGUCUGUUGGCUGCGGGAAGUUCGUUAAACCUUAUCAUUUAGAGGAAGGAGAAGUCGUAACA
rnacentral:rRNA from 1 species